CCUACGGGAGGCUGCAGUGGGGAAUAUUGGACAAUGGGGGGAACCUUGAUCCAGCCAUGCCGCGUGUGUGAAGAAGGCCCUCGGGUUGUAAAGCACUUUCAGUGAGGAAGAACGCCUGGUGGUUAAUACCCAUCAGGAAAGACAUCACUCACAGAAGAAGCACCGGCUAACUCCGUGCCAGCAGCCGCGGUAAUACGGAGGGUGCGAGCGUUAAUCGGAAUUACUGGGCGUAAAGCGCGCGUAGGUGGCUUGAUAAGCCGGUUGUGAAAGCCCCGGGCUCAACCUGGGAACGGCAUCCGGAACUGUCAAGCUAGAGUGCAGGAGAGGAAGGUAGAAUUCCCGGUGUAGCGGUGAAAUGCGUAGAGAUCGGGAGGAAUACCAGUGGCGAAGGCGGCCUUCUGGACUGACACUGACACUGAGGUGCGAAAGCGUGGGUAGCAAACAGGAUUAGAUACCCUGGUAGUC
rnacentral:rRNA from 1 species